GAUCCUGGCUCAGGAUGAACGCUGGCGGCGUGCUUAACACAUGCAAGUCGAACGAGAAAUGGAGACGGAAACCUUCGGGCGGAAGGCUUCAUUUCGAGUGGCGGACGGGUGAGUAACGCGUGGGUAACCUGCCUCAUACAGGGGGAUAACAGUUGGAAACGACUGUUAAUACCGCAUAAGACCACAGCACCGCAUGGUGCGGGGGUAAAAACUCCGGUGGUAUGAGAUGGACCCGNGUUCGAUUAGCCAGUUGGCGGGG
rnacentral:rRNA from 1 species